rnacentral:sRNA from 1 species
UGUUGGGCUUUGGUGGACUCGAGGUCCAUA